CUCCAAACCUGUUCCUCCAGCACUCCUGACUCUCUUCAGUAAAUGGUACCUUUGUCUGUCAUGCAGCUUCUACUAAGUGCAAGUGGAUGUUACUCUGAAGUCCUCUACAUCUAGGUCACUGACCUGUGACUCCACCAUCAAAAGAUACCUCAACUUGGACCUCAUCUCCCUAACUCAACAGCCACCAUUAUGUUCCAGCCAUCCUGGGAGCUACCACUCCAAAACCAGUCCCAGAACCUGAGAAACAGACCACAUAGUUAAAAUUGCUGGAGUCAGAGCCGGCACCUUGCCAUUCACUGUUAUAUAUCUUGGAGUUGUGUUCAUAAUGAAGAAAAGUUAAAUUAAACAGCUGAUGAGACCUGGGGAGUGACUGUUGAGACUGACACCCUUUUGGUCCUCUGAAGUUGGGAGUCCCCCAGCCACCAUUUGCAAUAUGACUGAAUCCUCAAACUGACUGUGCACACCCUACCCCAUGGAAAGAGACCCUCCACAAGUUCUGAGUCCACUUUGGCUUAACAGCUACUGUGGUGAAGAGUAAACCCAGGCCCUUGCACAUGCAGGGCAAGUAUUCCUCCACUGAGUUACAUCGCCAACCCUUAAACUCUUAAUAACAUUUGUGUUAUGUUUAAGAGUUCAAAGUAAUGAAAAGGUAAGCCUCAAUUUUCUUUU